rnacentral:rRNA from 1 species
UACGUAGGGGGCUAGCGUUGUCCGGAAUCAUUGGGCGUAAAGAGCGCGUAGGCGGCCAGAUAAGUCCGGUGUGAAAGUCAAAGGCUCAACCUUUGAAUGCCGCUGGAAACUGUCUGGCUAGAGUCCGGGAGGGGCGAGUGGAAUUCCUGGUGUAGCGGUGAAAUGCGCAGAUAUCAGGAGGAACACCAAUGGCGAAGGCAGCUCGCUGGAACGGUACUGACGCUCAGGUGCGAAAGCUAGGGGAGCGAACAGG